rnacentral:lncRNA from 1 species
AACCACUUCAGCUCGUAUCCAGAGUGUGAUGCAUGAAGUAUGUCCAUGCUCUCGGAAUGGGGUUCAUAUCCAUAACAAGCAUUUUAUACGGGUUGGGUUUUGCUAUUUGUUGUCAAUCUUUACCUGACUGAGCUAAAAUGUCUUGAAAUUCCUUAUAUGGCCAGCCGACUCGAGAAGAAGAUUUUAUCAUAUGGAAUUUGCAGUUGGAUUCUUGAAACUUAAACUUCAAUACUUUGUUAAUAUUCUUCCAAUCGAACUCAAUU